rnacentral:lncRNA from 1 species
ACAACACACAAACUAACAGAGGCUUGGCUGAUUUUUGUGGGAGGUGUUAGAUCCGCGGAAGACAUAAUGGGCAAAAGGAAGAGCAGCACUCGAUUAGCUCAGAUCCGAAACACAAAAGGUAAACUCACAACCCUCCAUAACUAAUCUCUUACUGCAUGUCUCAUAUAAACUUCACCGUGUAACAUCCUGUAUAACAGUAACACUGAAAAAUCUCUUCUACUUUUUCUUAUAUGCUCGACGCCAAAUCCUCAUCUAAUAUUUUAUUCAACAAGUGGUCGACUUGCGCAGCGAGUAGGUCCAGCUCUACGAGCUGCGAAAGUGCGAUUCCGCAAACCGGAUAGCAGAAACUCGGACCGCUUCCUGUGACGGCUUUUACUAUUUCCAGUUUAUUUCUUUAUAUUUUCCACCAUCUGCUCCCUUCUCCCAAUUUUUAAUUUUUUCUU